rnacentral:hammerhead_ribozyme from 1 species
GCACUGCUGAGGAGUCCCACAAUAAGGACGAAAUGACCAUCCAGUGC